rnacentral:lncRNA from 1 species
AGUCCUAUCCCUACGGUCCUGGAAUUGGGGGUUACUAUCUUGGAAUCUAGGGGCACUCCAGGCUCUGGGCUCAGACGGCUGGCUUCUGCCUACCCGAGCCUUAACCUUUCAAGGACCAGAAGGAUUCCAGAGCUCUUGCCCUAGGUCCUGGGGCAGCGAUGACUCACUGCAGCACCCCCUCCCACUUCGCCAAGCUGCCGUCUCCGCCCACCCCCAAACAAUCUCGACAGCGCAUUUCGGGAGCCACGGCUCCGGGCGCUUUGCUGGGGGCUAAAGGGGUUUAUCCCUUUCCUUGAAUCCCAGCAGGCUAGAACUACCCCCUCCCAGUCUUCAGGCUUGCCACGCUCUCCACCCGAUCCUUCCAUUGAAAGGCAGAGAAGGAAGGAUGUGCUUGGGAACUUUAAGACCCACGAACGACAGCGCACUGAUGGAGCAGCCCAGUGUCUGGGGCAAAGUCCUCGAGGUUCAUUCAUUCAGGAAGCCUCUGACCAGCCUUUACCAUGCGCUGAGUGAGAAGCUGAGGAUAAGGAAAGAGCAAGACCCCCAAGAAACCCUGAUGUCUGGCUGAAAGCCGAAGCAUGACGCAACUUUGCUAUAUUUCUCUCCAACAAGGAUUUGUAUAUUUUCGCUUUCUCCUCAAGUAACACCUGGACCUGCUCCUUUCCCUUCAAACGCUGAGGGCUCAGUCUCCAAGUUCCUUUAUGAAACAGGGUGUACCAUCAGAGACGCAGGUAUUUAUUGAAACCUGCUUUGUGCUGGGCAAUGUGCCAGAUGUUGGGGAUAAAAUGGAGACUUCAGAAAUGAAGAUGCAAAGACAACAGGGGAAACCAUAUAUGUUUAUGGACAGUCAUGCCAAAGUAUGAUUGGAAGACAAAAAGGGCAGGACACUGUCACAGAGCCUUUAGUGGAGAAGGAAAGAAGAGGGCCAGAGAGUAAACUCCCUUGGAUUUAUGGCCUGCUUCAGGGAAUAAAAGCAUCAGGAAUUCAAGUUUAUGGCCUGCUUGGAAGGGAGGGGAAGAGCUUGGAGAGAAGGUCAGAGAGACCUUCCUGCUUCUGCGGCUUUUUUCCAGUUUCCUUCAGCUUAAACUUCCUGUGUGCUAAGAUUCCCUUAGGAGAUACAUAACCAAGGGAGCAGCUUGAAAUUUGAGACUAGGCUAAUGGAGCCCCAUGCAAAUUCACCUUGGAGUUAUACACACAGAAAGUUUUGUGGCCACAUCAAUCUGUACACAGUGAACAUUUCUCUCAGUGCCAUAAACCAGAUACCCUUCUACCCCCAGCUGUUUGUAGCAUUUUAGGUGAAGACUUCAUUAAACUCCUAAAUAAGAAAAUGAGAGUACUCGAAGGAGACAGAGGAAUAUCUUGUGUCCAAACCAAAUAGAGGAGAAACCAUAAAUAUGAGGGCUCCAAGACAUCAACAUUUAUACUCAGAAGGCUCUUCCUACUACUAAAUCUGGCUGUUUAAUCCCUUGGAGAUUUGCCCUUGAUCUCCUUUCUCUGAUUUGCUUAUGGCCAAAUCUGAGCACCUGGAGCUUCUAUAGAGGUCAGAUAAGUUCAAUGUUGAAUGCUUUACCCUUUGCUCUAUGAGCCAAACACUGUUCUAGACCCUGGGAAUAAAAGGUAGACAUGCACAAUUUUUGCCCUUAUGGAGCUCAUUGUUCAGGAGGGGAGAUAGACAUCAACCAAAGAAUCACAUGAAUGAAUGUAAAAUUACAGUGAACAGCGCAAUGAAGCAAAGACUCAGGAGUGCCUUGAGAUCAUGUCAUAGGUUAUUUGUCUACAGGGAAGACAAGGAACUCUUCUAUCAGGACCUGCUAAAAUCAAUGGGAUCUGAUGAAUGGGCAGGAGUUAUGCAGAUGAAGGGAGCAAGGGACUGGUUUGGAGAAUGAUGUCAACAGAAGGAAAAGCAUAUGUGAAGGCCCUGUGGCAGAAGGGAACAAGCAUGAUAGAGCAACUGAAAGAAGUCCUGCUUGAUUAUAAAAGCAAAGAGCCUGAUACAAAAUGAGGCUGGUAAGGAAAAGGAGGUCAGACCAUGGAGACACACAGCCAUCUGGCAAAUACGGUCUUUAUGGCAAGAGCAAAGAAAACCCACUGCAGAGUUUGUACCUCAAAAAGUUCAGAAGAGACUAGACUGAAGAGACCAGUUGGGAGGCUGUUAGGCUAUCAGGAGAUUGGUGGUGGCAUGGACCAGGGUGACGGGCACUGAAGGUAAAGAGAAGUGGAUAUUGGAUCCGAGAUAUGGAACUGAGAUACCAACAUUUUAGAAAAUGCAUAUCUUCAUUCUUCUCAGAAAUAACUUGGAAUUUAC